rnacentral:rRNA from 1 species
UACGUAGGGGGCUAGCGUUGUCCGGAUUUAUUGGGCGUAAAGAGCGUGUAGGCGGCCAGGUAGGUCUGCUGUGAAAACUCGAGGCUCAACCUCGAGACGUCGGCGGAAACCAUCUGGCUAGAGUCCGGAAGAGGAGAGUGGAAUUCCUGGUGUAGCGGUGAAAUGCGCAGAUAUCAGGAAGAACACCCGUGGCGAAAGCGGCUCUCUGGGACGGUACUGACGCUGAGACGCGAAAGCGUGGGGAGCGAACAGG